AGGAAACGGGUUCUUUUGAUUUCGGGUACCGCACUUCCCUUUCUGGGCGGGGCCCCAGCGCGAAGCGCCCAGGGGGGCCCCGCCCUGUAGGAUUGUCCAUGUCCGUGUGGCAGUGUGUGUAUGUGUGUGUAACGGACCAAACAUAAUAUCUUGCCCGGCUGAAAUGCGGUAAUAUAUUGCAUUCUCUAUUGCAAGGUAUCUCGCCGUAGCCAACAAAAAUCGUAUGAGCACAAACAAGUUUGGUUGCCUCCAUUGACCGAGGCCAAAGUCACAUCAACGCCUCUCGGGCUAAAUAUAACCUCAAAAGGUGCCGCGUAUCUCAUAAUUGAAUUCUGAGAUGAUAGCGUAUGAUAACUCGAACACCCAGCUCGAACACCCAGCACGGGCAUUCCGACUUGCCACCAGCAGGCCGACAAAUUUGCUUUCAAUUCUCUAUGAAAUACGCAAGCUGCUCGUUUAUACAUUUACUUUGGCCAAUGCUCGGGGCCUCCAAAGAGUUGCAGUGUGCCGCGAUGAAGCUCGCGGCUGUGGGGCGGAUUCCUGAAGCCGCUGGCGCUUCGGGGAUAAAGAUCACAGAUAGCACCGGACUUCACCCAGCUUGCGUUACCAUUUGCCCGCACGCGCAUUCUGACUUGCGGUCUGCCGCACUGUCCGUGCGGCAUGCACCCGGGAUGGAUGCGAUUCGCGUGGCGCCCGCAGGCGGUGCUGACGAUUCCGCCGGUACAAGCAUAGCUCCCACAGCAUCUGCACUGCUGCAACAAAUACACCUCCCACCACGUUGACACUACCCAUCAAUUGUCACACGUGCCGCCGUAGCUACCGGCCUGUACGGAUGCAGGGGUCCCCGCCCUUUUUCCGGCUUCGAGGAAGCCGACACCCGGCUUAUCAAGAUACAUAACCUUGAGCGCGAUGCUGAGAGAACUGAGAAUGUAGAACGUCCUUCCGCUCUUUUCCGGUCGAUGCGGGGCUGGCGCCGUGCCUUGAUUCUCCAGAACCCUUUCUGCAGGACAUCUUCAUCAAACGGGGCCAAGCGGGCCAUGACGCAAUGCUGCCUCAAACCGACGCAGCAUGCGGUACGGUGUAGCAUUGUGUGGAGCACAUUGCUCGACAUGGCUUUACCCACGGCGGUUGCCCUACCCUGUGGCUACCUCAAACGUAACGGUGUGUAUAUGGCCAGCGCCAAGAUCAAGCACUAUGCCAUUUGAAACUUUGCCACCUUUCGAGACCUCGCUGUAUGUUUGCUCUCGCCGGCUGUGUGCAGCAUAGGCUGGCGUAGUGUCUGAGCCUCGCUAUGUCCUACGAUGAUUUGCGAUCUAAAAGGGCGCUACUAUUGCAUAAAAAGAUGAAGGAUAGAAGCGAUAAGCAACUUGGAGUUAGGAAUUAGCUUCUUAACUCGCACGAGCCUGGUCAACUGCAGCGCCGCGUUCAGCGCGCCCAAACCUCAAGCAAUAAGAGCAUAUGCCCAGCAACAACAUGGGUCAUAAAACUAGCUUCCCCUUCGUCAACACAAAGCAAGAGGUUCUCAC
rnacentral:lncRNA from 1 species